AUUUAAAAGUCGAACAGACUUAUAAUAAAGAAUUCUGCUUCUUUAGCUAUUCUUAAUUCAACAUCGAGGUCGCAAAAACUAAUAUAAAUAAGAACUCCCCAUUAGUAUUACGCUGUUAUCCCUAAGGUAACUUAAUCUUAUUAUUCCUAUAAAAAGAUCUAUACAAACAUAAAUUAAUGAAAUAAAAAAUUAAAGUCAAAAUUUAAUUACCACCCCAGCAAAUUAUUAAAACAGUAACUAAAAAAAAAUCUUUAAAAUUUUAGUUACUGUUUUAAUAUAAAGUUCUAUAGGGUCUUAUCGUCCCAAGAAAAUACCUAAGCAUUUUUACCUAAAGUUGAAUUUUUAAUAAUAAAAUUAAUAAAACCAAAUUCUCAUAUAUCCAUUCAUUCCAGCUUCUAAUUAGGAAACUAAUUACUAUGCUACCUUUGUACAGUCAAUAUACUGCAGCCAUUUAGAACUAACCAUAGGGCAGGAAGUACUUUCUAAAGAAAUCA
rnacentral:rRNA from 1 species